rnacentral:rRNA from 1 species
AUUGAACGCUGGCGGCAGGCCUAACACAUGCAAGUCGAACGAGUGGCGGACGGGUGAGUAAUGUCUGGGGAACUGCCUGAUGGAGGGGGAUAACUACUGGAAACGGUAGCUAAUACCGCAUACCAUCAGAUGAACCCAGAUGGGAUUAGCUGGUAGGUGGGGUAACGGCGCACCUAGGCGACGAUCCCUAGCUUGUCUGAGAGGAUGAUCAGCCACACUGGGACUGAGACACGGCCCAGACUCCUACGGGAGGUAGCAGUGGGGAAUAUUGCACAAUGGGCGCAAGCCUGAUGCAGCCAUGCCGCGUGUAUGAAGAAGGCCUUCGGGUUGUAAAGUACUUUCAGUCGGGAGGCGUUACCCGCAGAAGAAGCACCGGCUAACUCCGUGCCAGCAGCCGCGGUAAUUC